rnacentral:rRNA from 1 species
CCUACGGGUGGCAGCAGUGAGGAAUAUUGGUCAAUGGCCGGAAGGCUGAACCAGCCAAGCCGCGUGAAGGACGAAGGUGCCAAGCAUUGUAAACUUCUUUUGUCAAGGGACAAAAUCAGGCUCGAGAGCCUGACCGAGGGUACUUGAAGAAAAAGCAUCGGCUAACUCCGUGCCAGCAGCCGCGGUAAUACGGAGGAUGCGAGCGUUAUCCGGAUUUAUUGGGUUUAAAGGGUGCGUAGGCGGGCUGUUAAGUCAGCGGUAAAAGCCCGGGGCUCAACCCCGGCGAGCCGUUGAAACUGGCUGUCUGGAGUAUCGGAGAGGCAGGCGGAAUUCCUAGUGUAGCGGUGAAAUGCGUAGAUAUUAGGAGGAACACCAGUGGCGAAGGCGGCCUGCUGGACGACAACUGACGGUGAGGCGCGAAAGCGUGGGGAGCAAACAGGAUUAGAUACCCGAGUAGUC